rnacentral:rRNA from 1 species
GAUGAACGCUGGCGGCGUGCCUAAUACAUGCAAGUCGAGCGAACAGACGAGGAGCUUGCUCCUCUGACGUUAGCGGCGGACGGGUGAGUAACACGUGGAUAACCUACCUAUAAGACUGGGAUAACUUCGGGAAACCGGAUCUAAUACCGGAUAAUAUAUUGAACCGCAUGGUUCAAUAGUUAAAGACGGUUUUGCUGUCACUUAUAGAUGGAUCCGCGCCGCAUUAGCUAGUUGGUAAGGUAACGGCUUACCAAGGCAACGAUGCGGAGCCGACCCGAGAGGGUGAUCGGCCAGACUGGAAGUGAGAGACGGUACAGACUCCUACGGGAGGAAGCAGUAGGGAAUCUUACGCGAUGGGCGAAAGCUUGACGGAGCAAAGCCGGGUGAGUGAUGAAGGUCUUAGGAUCGUAAAACUCUGUUAUUAGGGAAGAACAAAUGUGUAAGUACCUAUGCACGUAUUGACGGUACCUAAUCAGAAAGCCACGGCUAACUACGUG